GGCGUGGUAGUUAAGUUGUUGAAGCACUUGUCUCGCAUACGAGGGUCGUGUGUUCAAAUCUCACCUGAGCUG
rnacentral:tRNA from 1 species